rnacentral:rRNA from 1 species
GACGAAUGCUGGCUGCGUGCUUAACACAUGCAAGUCGAACGGUGAAGGGGAGCUUGCUCCCCGGAUCAGUGGCGAACGGGUGAGUAACACGUGGGCAACCUGCCCCUCACUCUGGGAUAACUCCGGGAAACCGGGGCUAAUACCGGAUACGACCGGGAGCGACAUCGCUCCUGGUGGAAAGAACUUCGGUGAGGGAUGGGCCCGCGGCCUAUCAGCUAGUUGGUGGGGUAACGGCCCACCAAGGCGACGACGGGUAGCCGGCCUGAGAGGGCGAUCGGCCACACUGGGACUGAGACACGGCCCAGACCCCUACGGGAGGCAGCAGUGGGGAAUAUUGCGCAAUGGGCGAAAGCCUGACGCAGCGACGCAGCGUGAGGGACGAAGGCCUUCGGGUUGUAAACCUCUUUCAGCGGGGACGAAGCGAAAGUGACGGUACCCGCAGAAGAAGCACCGGCUAACUACGUGCCAGCAGCCGCAGUAAUAC